rnacentral:rRNA from 1 species
UACGAAGGGGGCUAGCGUUGCUCGGAAUCACUGGGCGUAAAGCGCACGUAGGCGGAUCGCUAAGUCAGGGGUGAAAUCCUGGAGCUCAACUCCAGAACUGCCUUUGAUACUGGCAAUCUCGAGUCCGGGAGAGGUGAGUGGAACUGCGAGUGUAGAGGUGAAAUUCGUAGAUAUUCGCAAGAACACCAGUGGCGAAGGCGGCUCACUGGCCCGAUACUGACGCUGAGGCACGAAAGCGUGGGGAGCAA